rnacentral:rRNA from 1 species
UACGUAGGGGGCAAGCGUUGUCCGGAAUCAUUGGGCGUAAAGAGCGUGUAGGCGGCUCGAUAAGUCUGCUGUGAAAGUCCAGGGCUCAACCCUGGAAGGCCGGUGGAAACUGUCGGGCUAGAGUCCGGAAGAGGCGAGUGGAAUUCCCGGUGUAGCGGUGAAAUGCGCAGAUAUCAGGAGGAACACCGAUGGCGAAGGCAGGUCUCUGGGCAUUAACUGACGCUGAGGAGCGAAAGCAUGGGGAGCGAACAGG